GAACGCGUGGUCGUGGGUUCGCCCGCGGUCAUGAGUGGCGCACGGGUGAGUAGCGCGUGGGAACCUGCCCUGGAGUGGGGGAUAACCGAGGGAAACUUCGGCUAAUACCGCAUGCGCCCCCGCGAAAGCGGGGGGAAAGAUUUUAUCGCUCCUGGAGGGGCCCGCGUCGGAUUAGGUAGUUGGUGGGGUAACGGCCUACCAAGCCUUUGAUCCGUAGCUGGUCUGAGAGGAUGAUCAGCCACACUGGGACUGAGACACGGCCCAGACUCCUACGGGAGGCAGCAGUGGGGAAUAUUGGACAAUGGGCGCAAGCCUGAUCCAGCAAUGCCGCGUGAGUGAUGAAGGCCUUCGGGUUGUAAAGCUCUUUCGCCCGCGACGAUGAUGACGGUAGCGGGAGAAGAAGCCCCGGCUAACUUCGUG
rnacentral:rRNA from 1 species